AUUGAACGCUGGCGGCGGGCCUAACACAUGCAAGUCGAACGAGUUGCGGACGGUUGAGUAAUGUCUGGGAAACUGCCUGAUGGAGGGGGAUAACUACUGGAAACGGUAGCUAAUACCGCAUACCAUCGAAUGUGCCCAGAUGGGAUUAGCUAGGGGGUGGGGUAAAGGCGCACCUAGGCGACGAUCCCUAGCUGGUCUGAGAGGAUGACCAGCAAAACUGGAACUGAGACACGGUCCAGAGUCCUACGGGAGGCAGCAGUGGGGAAUAUUGGACAAUGGGCGAAAGCCUGGUCCAGCAAUGCAGCGUGUGGGAAGAAGGUCUGCGGAGUGUAAAGCACUUUUAGUUGGGAGGCGUUAGCAACAGAAUAAGCACCGGAUAACUUCGUGCCAGCAGCCGCGGUAAUAC
rnacentral:rRNA from 1 species